rnacentral:rRNA from 1 species
UACGUAGGGACCGAGCGUUGUCCGGAAUCAUUGGGCGUAAAGCGCGUGUAGGCGGCCCGGUAAGUCCGCUGUGAAAGUCGGGGGCUCAACCCUCGGAUGCCGGUGGAUACUGUCGGGCUCGAGUACGGAAGAGGCGAGUGGAAUUCCUGGUGUAGCGGUGAAAUGCGCAGAUAUCAGGAGGAACACCAAUUGCGAAGGCAGCUCGCUGGGACGUAACUGACGCUGAGACGCGAAAGCGUGGGGAGCAAACAGG